rnacentral:rRNA from 1 species
UACGGGGGGGGCAAGCGUUGUUCGGAAUUACUGGGCGUAAAGGGCUCGUAGGUGGCCAACUAAGUCAGACGUGAAAUCCCUCGGCUUAACCGGGGAACUGCGUCUGAUACUGGAUGGCUUGAGUUUGGGAGAGGGACGCGGAAUUCCAGGUGUAGCGGUGAAAUGCGUAGAUAUCUGGAGGAACACCGGUGGCGAAGGCGGCGUCCUGGACCAACACUGACACUGAUGCGCGAAAGCUAGGGGAGCAAACGGG